GCCGCCGUAGCUCAGUCGGUAUAGUGACUGGCUAUGGACUGGGCGACCGGGGUUCAAUCCCCGACGGGGGCA
rnacentral:tRNA from 1 species